AGCUCUUACAUGCAUUUUUGUUUAAUUUGCAGACAAAGACUUAUAGACAGGUACCAAAACAUUCUCUUUGGGAACCUAGAACUCAUUGUGAGUUCUAAGCCACUUCAAAGUGAUAGA
ensembl:snoRNA